rnacentral:rRNA from 1 species
CCUACGGGUGGCAGCAGUGAGGAAUAUUGGUCAAUGGACGAGAGUCUGAACCAGCCAAGUAGCGUGAAGGAUGACUGCCCUAUGGGUUGUAAACUUCUUUUAUAUGGGAAUAAAAUGUUCCACGUGUGGGCCUUUGUAUGUACCAUAUGAAUAAGGAUCGGCUAACUCCGUUCCCGCAGCCGCGGUAAUACGGAGGAUCCGAGCGUUAUCCGGGUUUAUUGGGUUUAAAGGGAGCGUAGGUGGAGUGUUAAGUCAGUUGUGAAAGUUUGCGGCUCAACCGUAAAAUUGCAGUUGAAACUGGCAGGCUGGAGUACAGUAGAGGUGGGCGGAAUGCGUGGUGUAGCGGUGAAAUGCUUAGAUAUCACGCAGAACUCCGAUUGCGAAGGCAGUUCACUGGACUGCAACUGACACUGAGGCUCGAAAGUGUGGGUAUCAAACAGGAUUAGAUACCCGGGUAGUC